CGGGUUUCACCGUAGAAUCAAUGGUGAGGGAUGACAAACCUAUCUUGUGUGUAUCUUUGGCAUGUCAUAGGGCUCAUAAGAAAAUAAGUAUAUGUUCCUCGUAAAUAGGACGACCAACUCCACCUCCUCCUCAAAAUCAAAUAGAUAGGUGCCUAGUUUGGUGACUUGAUAGUUCAAGGGGCCAAUCCAUACUUCCUUUAGGUCUUCUAUGGGAA
rnacentral:lncRNA from 1 species